AGUCAGGUGGUUAAGAUUAGGUUA
rnacentral:siRNA from 1 species